UGCCUCCGGGGGGCAGCAGUGGGGAAUAUUGCACAAUGGGGGAAACCCUGAUGCAGCGACGCCGCGUGGGUGAAGAAGUACUUCGGUACGUAAAGCCCUAUCAGCAGGGAAGAAAAUGACGGUACCUGAUUAAGAGGCCCCGGCUAACUACGUGCCAGCAGCCGCGGUAAUACGUAGGGGGCAAGCGUUAUCCGGAUUUACUGGGUGUAAAGGGAGCGUAGACGGCAGGGCAAGUCUGGAGUGAAAGGCGGGGGCUCAACCCCCGGACUGCUCUGGAAACUGCCAGGCUGGAGUGCAGGAGAGGG
rnacentral:rRNA from 1 species